rnacentral:piRNA from 1 species
UCAAACUAGCGUGGCCCUAGCCAAGAGGUGU